CAGGGAAUAGUUUAAUAUAGCAAUAUCAGCUUUGGGAGUUGAAGGYGGAAU
rnacentral:tRNA from 1 species